AGCUCCAAUAGCGUAUAUUAAAGUUGUUGCAGUUAAAAAGCUCGUAGUUGGAUUUCUGGCAGGAGCGACCGGUCACGCACUCUGUGCGUGAACUUGCGUUGUCUCUGGCCAUCCUUGGGGAGAUCCUGUUUGGCAUUAAGUUGUCGGGCAGGGGAUACCCAUCGUUUACUGUGAAAAAAUUAGAGUGUUUAAAGCAGGCUUAUGCCGUUGAAUAUAUUAGCAUGGAAUAAUAAGAUAGGACUUCGGAACUAUUUUGUUGGUUUGCGUUACGAAGUAAUGAUUAAUAGGGACAGUUGGGGGUAUUCGUAUUUCGUUGUCAGAGGUGAAAUUCUUGGAUUUCCGAAAGACGAACUACUGCGAAAGCAUUUACCAAGGAUGUUUUCAUUA
rnacentral:rRNA from 1 species